UACGAAGGGGGGCUAGCGUUGUUCGGAUUUACUGGGCGUAAAGCGCACGUAGGCGGUUUGUUAAGUUAGGGGUGAAAUCCCACAGCUCAACUGUGGAACUGCCUUUGAUACUGGCAAUCUCGAGUCCGGAAGAGGUGAGUGGAACUCCUAGUGUAGAGGUGGAAUUCGUAGAUAUUAGGAAGAACACCAGUGGCGAAGGCGGCUCACUGGUCCGGAACUGACGCUGAGGUGCGAAAGCGUGGGGAGCAAACAGG
rnacentral:rRNA from 1 species